rnacentral:rRNA from 1 species
CGGGACACGUGGUAUCCUGUCUGAAUAUGGGGGGACCAUCCUCCAAGGCUAAAUACUCCUGACUGACCGAUAGUGAACCAGUACCGUGAGGGAAAGGCGAAAAGAACCCCGGCGAGGGGAGUGAAAAAGAACCUGAAACCGUGUACGUACAAGCAGUGGGAGCACGCUUAGGCGUGUGACUGCGUACCUUUUGUAUAAUGGGUCAGCGACUUAUAUUCUGUAGCAAGGUUAACCGAAUAGGGGAGCCGAAGGGAAACCGAGUCUUAACUGGGCGUUAAGUUGCAGGGUAUAGACCCGAAACCCGGUGAUCUAGCCAUGGGCAGGUUGAAGGUUGGGUAACACUAACUGGAGGACCGAACCGACUAAUGUUGAAAAAUUAGCGGAUGACUUGUGGCUGGGGGUGAAAGGCCAAUCAAACCGGGAGAUAGCUGGUUCUCCCCGAAAGCUAUUUAGGUAGCGCCUCGUGAAUUCAUCUCCGGGGGUAGAGCACUGUUUCGGCAAGGGGGUCAUCCCGACUUACCAACCCGAUGCAAACUGCGAAUACCGGAGAAUGUUAUCACGGGAGACACACGGCGGGUGCUAACGUCCGUCGUGAAGAGGGAAACAACCCAGACCGCCAGCUAAGGUCCCAAAGUCAUGGUUAAGUGGGAAACGAUGUGGGAAGGCCCAGACAGCCAGGAUGUUGGCUUAGAAGCAGCCAUCAUUUAAAGAAAGCGUAAUAGCUCACUGGUCGAGUCGGCCUGCGCGGAAGAUGUAACGGGGCUAAACCAUGCACCGAAGCUGCGGCAGCGACGCUGAUGCGUUGUUGGGUAGGGGAGCGUUCUGUAAGCCUGUGAAGGUGUGCUGUGAGGCAUGCUGGAGGUAUCAGAAGUGCGAAUGCUGACAUAAGUAACGAUAAAGCGGGUGAAAAGCCCGCUCGCCGGAAGACCAAGGGUUCCUGUCCAACGUUAAUCGGGGCAGGGUGAGUCGACCCCUAAGGCGAGGCCGAAAGGCGUAGUCGAUGGGAAACAGGUUAAUAUUCCUGUACUUGGUGUUACUGCGAAGGGGGGACGGAGAAGGCUAUGUUGGCCGGGCGACGGUUGUCCCGGUUUAAGCGUGUAGGCUGGUUUUCCAGGCAAAUCCGGAAAAUCAAGGCUGAGGCGUGAUGACGAGGCACUACGGUGCUGAAGCAACAAAUGCCCUGCUUCCAGGAAAAGCCUCUAAGCAUCAGGUAACAUCAAAUCGUACCCCAAACCGACACAGGUGGUCAGGUAGAGAAUACCAAGGCGCUUGAGAGAACUCGGGUGAAGGAACUAGGCAAAAUGGUGCCGUAACUUCGGGAGAAGGCACGCUGAUAUGUAGGUGAAGCGACUUGCUCGUGGAGCUGAAAUCAGUCGAAGAUACCAGCUGGCUGCAACUGUUUAUUAAAAACACAGCACUGUGCAAACACGAAAGUGGACGUAUACGGUGUGACGCCUGCCCGGUGCCGGAAGGUUAAUUGAUGGGGUCAGCGCAAGCGAAGCUCUUGAUCGAAGCCCCGGUAAACGGCGGCCGUAACUAUAACGGUCCUAAGGUAGCGAAAUUCCUUGUCGGGUAAGUUCCGACCUGCACGAAUGGCGUAAUGAUGGCCAGGCUGUCUCCACCCGAGACUCAGUGAAAUUGAACUCGCUGUGAAGAUGCAGUGUACCCGCGGCAAGACGGAAAGACCCCGUGAACCUUUACUAUAGCUUGACACUGAACAUUGAGCCUUGAUGUGUAGGAUAGGUGGGAGGCUUUGAAGUGUGGACGCCAGUCUGCAUGGAGCCGGCCUUGAAAUACCACCCUUUAAUGUUUGAUGUUCUAACGUUGACCCGUGAUCCGGGUUGCGGACAGUGUCUGGUGGGUAGUUUGACUGGGGCGGUCUCCUCCUAAAGAGUAACGGAGGAGCACGAAGGUUGGCUAAUCCUGGUCGGACAUCAGGAGGUUAGUGCAAUGGCAUAAGCCAGCUUGACUGCGAGCGUGACGGCGCGAGCAGGUGCGAAAGCAGGUCAUAGUGAUCCGGUGGUUCUGAAUGGAAGGGCCAUCGCUCAACGGAUAAAAGGUACUCCGGGGAUAACAGGCUGAUACCGCCCAAGAGUUCAUAUCGACGGCGGUGUUUGGCACCUCGAUGUCGGCUCAUCACAUCCUGGGGCUGAAGUAGGUCCCAAGGGUAUGGCUGUUCGCCAUUUAAAGUGGUACGCGAGCUGGGUUUAGAACGUCGUGAGACAGUUCGGUCCCUAUCUGCCGUGGGCGCUGGAGAACUGAGGGGGGCUGCUCCUAGUACGAGAGGACCGGAGUGGACGCAUCACUGGUGUUCGGGUUGUCAUGCCAAUGGCACUGCCCGGUAGCUAAAUGCGGAAGAGAUAAGUGCUGAAA